rnacentral:rRNA from 1 species
GGGUGCUCGAGUGGCGAACGGGUGAGUAACACGUGAGUAACCUGCCCUUGACUUUGGGAUAACUUCAGGAAACUGGGGCUAAUACCGGAUAGGAGGUCCUGCUGCAUGGUGGGGGUUGGAAAGUUUCGGCGGUUGGGGAUGGACUCGCGGCUUAUCAGCUUGUUGGUGGGGUAGUGGCUUACCAAGGCUUUGACGGGUAGCCGGCCUGAGAGGGUGACCGGCCACAUUGGGACUGAGAUACGGCCCAG